UUAAAACUUCCAUUUUUGAUUUUCAUCUUUUGAUUUUAUUUUAUUUAACAUGGAAUAAAUAUGUGAGCAUGAAAAUGCCAAAAAACAUGAAUGUUUGACUUUGUUGACUUUUUAGACCAUUUUGUGAAUCUAUCCCGACUUUAUGAGUUCUAUUAAUUAAAUGUCAUCUUGUGCGUUUCAUGUGUUUAUUCCGAUCUUUCCAAACCUGGGAUUUUUGUGUGAAAUCAAUGUAGGGUAGGAACAUGUCCCCUUAAACACUUAGGUCGAUUUAAUUCUGAUAAAGCCCCGAUUAAAUGUUUUUGACCUCCUAAACUUGCCCAAAUGGGAUGAAAUUUGACAUGCUUACCAUGCUAUGUGUUAGGAUGGAUCAUGAUUUAUUUGGUGAUUUUUGGAAAUGUUUAGUUUGCUCUUGAGUUAAGUCUUUCUGUUGACUUCUGUGGGUUCCUGUUUGCCCUACUUUGACCUAACUGGUUCAUGAAAUGAUGACGGUGAUCAGUAUGAAUGUGAAUCCAAUUGGUUGUGUUUCCUAGUGGUUUGAAUAUGAUUUUGGAUACUUGACCCUUGACGUCUUGACUUUCUCAUUCACUUUUGACCCUA
rnacentral:lncRNA from 1 species